rnacentral:pre_miRNA from 1 species
AAUAGUUUUAUGCCCAUCAGUAUUCUUAUCCUGAAUUUUAGGAUUUUAUUUUGAAAAAAAUUAAAUUCAAAUUAAAAUCCUGAAAUUCAGGAUAAAAAUACUGAUGUGAUAUAAAACUAUU